AACGAACGCUGGCGGCAUGCCUAACACAUGCAAGUCGAACGAGACCUUCGGGUCUAGUGGCGCACGGGUGCGUAACGCGUGGGAAUCUGCCCUUGGGUUCGGAAUAACAGUUAGAAAUGACUGCUAAUACCGGAUGAUGUCUUCGGACCAAAGAUUUAUCGCCCAGGGAUGAGCCCGCGUAGGAUUAGCUAGUUGGUGGGGUAAAAGGCCUACCAAGGCGACGAUCCUUAGCUGGUCUGAGAGGAUGAUCAGCCACACUGGGACUGAGACACGGCCCACGACUCCUA
rnacentral:rRNA from 1 species